GCUCAGCAAUAAAGCUACUUCUCUGCGUGCAACAAAAGAGGAAUUUGGAAUAGAAAUACAGAAAAUAGCUUUGCAACUGUUAAAAUAUCAAGCAUAGAUGAAAAUAACGUUCUUGCAAUUUAGUAUCAGUAACUAGGAUCAACUGAAUGUUAAUGAAGUUAAAAAUAAGGUAUCAAGAACCCCUUUAGUGACACAGAAGCCAUGCAAAUCACUAUAAACCAGAUGGCAAAACAGGCACCAGAUGCAAGCAACCUCUGACAAUUUUACCAUUGUCUCAUCCUAUCGCAUGCUUUACAUUCAAACUAGUGGUUUAUGCAGUUGUGAAACUGACUCUUUUAACAUAUCAACUUUACCAUGGAACUUUGACUCAUUAGUCAUUAUGUUGAUUUAUAUAAGUAAGCUCAAUUAGAAAGAUAGCAAAAGGAGGAAUCUGCUUUAUAUGCAACUAUAAGCUACCAUAGAAAGCAUGAGCUACCAUUUUAGAUGAAUUACAAACUUUAAGAAUGUAUUAUUAUUAUCAACAUCAAAAUGGAAAAAGAAGAUAAAAUAAUAUACAUAUACCCCAUCAACAAUUUCUUAACUUAAAGCUUCUAGAGCAUAUAACUCAUCAAUAAUGAUCACAGAAGAAAGUAAAUACCCUUGCCAAUUACCAAGCAUGCAGUAGAUAUUUGGCACAGUCCAAAAGAGGAUACCCAAUCAAAUUCAGAAAACUCAAGAACAGAUGAAAAGUCGAUACCAAUUUUAGUUGAGAAAAACUUAGAGAAUACGGGGAGGAGAAGCAGAGUGUGUGCACGCAUGUGACAACAUACUAACUCAUAUAUUAUAGCUACUAUAGAAUUAAGUAGAAUGAGUACAUAUACAUACGUACACACACACACACACACACA
rnacentral:misc_RNA from 1 species